GCCCAGAUAGCUCAGUUGGCAGAGCAUUUCCAUGGUAAGGAAAAGGUCCGCGGUUCGAACCCGCGUCUGGGCU
rnacentral:tRNA from 1 species